rnacentral:rRNA from 1 species
GACGAACGCUGGCGGCGUGCCUAAUACAUGCAAGUAGAACGCAGUUGCUAACGGGUGAGUAACGCGUAGGUAACUGCCUCAUAGCGGGGGAUAACUAUUGGAAACGAUAGCUAAUACCGCAUACUGUGAGAUGGACCUGCGGUGUAUUAGCUAGUUGGUGCGGUAAAGGCUCACCAAGGCGCGGAUACAGAGCCGACCUGAGAGGGUGAUCGGCCACACUGGGACUGGGACACGGCCCAGACUCCUUCGGGAGGCAGCGGUAGGGAAUCUUCGGCAAUGGACGGAAGGCUGACCAAACAACGCCGCGUGAGUGAAGAAGGGUUUCGGAUCGUAAAACUCUGUUGUUAGAGAAGCGGUAACUACCCAGAAAGGGACGGCUAACUACGUGCCAGCAGCCGCGGUAAUUC